AAUCAACGCUGGCGGCGUGCCUCAGACAUGCAAGUCGAACGAUCAAAGCUCUCUUCGGAGAGUGUAUAGAGUGGCGCACGGGUGAGUAACACGUAAGUAAUCUACCCUCGAGUGGGGAAUAACAACCGGAAACGGUUGCUAAUACCGCAUAAUGCAGCGGCACCGCAAGGUGACAGUUGUUAAAGAUUUAUCGCUUGAGGAGGAGCUUGCGGCAGAUUAGCUAGUUGGUAGGGUAACGGCUUACCAAGGCUACGAUCUGUAACCGGUCUAAGAGGACGGUCGGUCACACUGACACUGAAUAACGGGUCAGACUCCUACGGGAGGCAGCAGUCGGGAAUUUUGGGCAAUGGGCGAAAGCCUGACCCAGCAACGCCGCGUGAAGGAUGAAGUAUUUCGGUAUGUAAACUUCGAAAGAAUAGGAAGAAUUAAUGACGGUACUAUUUAUAAGGUCCGGCUAACUACGUGCCAGCAGCCGCGGUAAU
rnacentral:rRNA from 1 species